CAUGGGAGAGACCGGAUGAAGGUGGUAAGUAAUGCCAUUUUUCGGCGCCGAAGGGGAAGACGCGUAAACUCUCAGGCAAAAAGGACCAU
rnacentral:ncRNA from 1 species